CCGGCGACCGGCGGACGGGUGCGUAACGCGUAUGUAACCUACCUUUGACAGGGGGAUAACAUCGAGAAAUUGGUACUAAUACCCCAUAACAUCACCGGAGGCAUCUUCGGUGGUUGAAAACUCAGGUGGUCAGAGAUGGACAUGCGUUGUAUUAGCUAGUCGGUGAGGUAACGGCUCACCAAGGCGACGAUACAUAGGGGGACUGAGAGGUUAACCCCCCCACAUUGGUACUGAGACACGGACCAAACUCCUACGGAAGGCAGCAG
rnacentral:rRNA from 1 species